UAUCAGUUUCAGAAAUACAGAAAAGUGACGAACAUUUCUCCGGGUGUGUUUUUCGAAGGCUGAAUACUGAGCAGAUAGUCGUCUUCCACUGCGUUUUUCUCGUCUCUGGUGUAGACAGAAGGAAGUUUUGCUACAGCUUGUGACGAGGUUGCUUGAAAUCAAAGACACAGGAUCGGAUAUUUGAAGACUCAGAUCAUGAAAAACGUUUAAACCUGUUGAAUGAUUGUGAGGCAAUUUUUUUCAUUACGAAGUUGACGGCGCAAAUUAAAAAAACAGAUCAGAAGUUUCUGGCAUCACUUCAGCUUCUUCCACGGAGACGAGCAUAAGGUCUAAUGACAGUGAUGAUGAUCCUGAUGAAGGCCACGAGCCCAAAUGUGUUGGUGGAGCAGUAAAGUUUUCUAAAUCAUUCAAAUGUUUCUCGAGCUCUAACUCUCUACUUCCCUAUUGUUUUAGGGCUCUGUGUGUUGAUUUCACUGACAGCUUAUUUAUUAAUAAGUAAUUAUUAAUAUUAUUGUUGAAAACAACUCCAAGAGGUAAGUUUAGUUUUAUAGAAGAGAGAGCAGUCUCUUUGUCAGGUGAAUAUCUACAAAUAUACAAACACAUUAAAUAUGUAUCUGAAGAUGACAGUCAGCAAUGCAGCUCAAUUUAAAAAAAAAUAAUAUGAAAAUAAAAGAAUGAAUCUGAACUUUUAA